rnacentral:tRNA from 4 species
GGGGCCUUAGCUCAGCUGGGAGAGCGCCUGCUUUGCACGCAGGAGGUCAUCGGUUCGAUCCCGAUAGGCUCCAC